rnacentral:ncRNA from 1 species
GUUAAAACGUCGGUAUAUGUGCACCAGAUGAUAUCAAUAAAGAGCAAAAAGACUAUCGUCGUGAAGUCUGCGAUGCACUUCUUUGACGCUACAAGUUCGAAGGCGAUUAGAUACCGACCUAGUUCUGAAAGUAGACUAUGCCAUCUAGCGAUUCGAUGAAGUAUUGUUGCCUUGUCGAGGAGCUUCCCGGAAACGAAAGUCUUUCGGUUC